rnacentral:rRNA from 1 species
AUUGAACGCUGGCGGCAGGCCUAACACAUGCAAGUCGAGCGGCGCGGCGAACGGGUGAGUAAUGCCUCGGAAUCUGCCUGGUAGUGGGGGAUAACGUCCGAAAACGGGCGCUAAUACCGCAUACUAUCAGAUGAGCCUAGGUCGGAUUAGCUAGUUGGUGGGGUAAAGGCCUACCAGGGCGGCGAUCAGUAACUGGUCUGAGAGGUUGAUCAGUCACACUGGAACUGAGAUACGGUGCAGACGCCUACGGGAGGCAGCAGUGGGGAAGAUUGGAAAAUGGGCGAAAGCCUGAUCCAGCCAUGCCGCGUGUGUGAAGAAGGUCUUCGGAUGGUAAAGCACUUUAAGUUGGGAGGCGUUACCAACAGAAUAAGCACCGGCUAACUUCGUGCCAGCAGCCGCGGUAAUAC